rnacentral:rRNA from 1 species
CUCGACCUCAGAUCAGGUGGGACUCCCCGCCGAAUUUAAGCAUAUUAGUAAGCGGAGGAAAAGAAACUAACGAGGAUUCCCCCAGUAGCUGCGAGCGAACAGGGAAGAGCCCAGCACUGAAUCCCAAAGG